AAUGGGGGCUGGAGGGGAGCGCGGAUGCGGCUCCCGGGGUUUUUUUUUUUUUUUUUAUGAAUGAAGGGCAGCGGCAGCUGCGCAUGCACCGCGCCCCCCGCCCGGGGCUGGAGGAAAUGCACCUUGCUCUUCUCUUCCUGUCUUCUACUGUGGGACCGUCAUUUUAUCCACGUGUGGGAAUUUCCAUUACUGCUGGGGGAAAGGGACUUCUCCUCCUGAGUGAAGACUGGGAUCUGACUUGAAGCAAGACAAGAGAAGCAAAGCCUCUGUGUGAACAUCACAGCACUUUGGUUUUCAGAUUUGUCACCUUGUGCAGGUUCUGCUGAGACUCUGGUCCCCUGACAGCAGCAGGACGUUGAAGGAUUUGAGCUGAGAUCUCUGAGCAGCCACAGCCCCCUGCUCUGACCCCUCCUUUCCAGCCCAGACACAGCUCCCUCAGCCCCACAUUUCCUCCAGGUAAGACUUGAUUUCCUAAAGAUCUCGUUUCUGACCACUCCAUCUUUCCUUCACGUGGUUUUGUCCCAGCAAGAGGCUGCAGGGCUGGC
rnacentral:lncRNA from 1 species